UACGUAGGGCGCAAGCGUUAUCCGGAAUUAUUGGGCGUAAAGGGCUCGUAGGCGGUCUGUUGCGUCGGGAGUGAAAACUCAGGGCUUAACCCUGAGCCUGCUUCCGAUACGGGCAGACUAGAGGUAUGCAGGGGAGAACGGAAUUCCUGGUGUAGCGGUGAAAUGCGCAGAUAUCAAGAGGAACACCAGUGGCGAAGGCGAGUCCCUGGACAACUUCUGACGCUGAGGCACGAAAGCUAGGGGAGCAAACAGG
rnacentral:rRNA from 1 species